UCGUGCUUUAAUGACAAUUUAUUACGUACAUAAGAUGUUAUUUCUAGAUUUUAAUUUAAUCUUUAUCACCCAGCCUUUUAUCAGAACAGGCGAAAUUUUCAUGAAAAAGGUUUUAAAUAUGACAAUAUGAUGCGUGGUACCCAUUUUAUCGAAUCUCUGAAGAGUUGGAAGCCUGAGUCAGCUUUGCCCAAUCCAAGGAUAGAACACAAGAACUGAGGAACGUGAGCGCUAAGCGCAUCUACUUGGCUUCAAUAUAGAAUAAAUACACAUUCAAUAUAAGCUAAAUUCACCAGUCGUUAGCUUGUUAUGGAGAAUAAAAUUUAUGAGAAAAAAUGUUUGUUAACUGAUUUUUGAUUAAAAAAUGCUUAAGUUUG